UACGUAGGGUGCGAGCGUUAAUCGGAAUUACUGGGCGUAAAGCGUGCGCAGGCGGUUUUGUAAGUCAGAUGUGAAAGCCCCGGGCUCAACCUGGGAACUGCGUUUGAAACUACAAGGCUAGAGUAUGGCAGAGGGGGGUAGAAUUCCACGUGUAGCAGUGAAAUGCGUAGAGAUGUGGAGGAAUACCAAUGGCGAAGGCAGCCCCCUGGGUCAAUACUGACGCUCAUGCACGAAAGCGUGGGGAGCAAACAGG
rnacentral:rRNA from 1 species